rnacentral:lncRNA from 1 species
ACAAAAACAAGAGACAUGAUUGAUUAGACUGGUAAUCAUGUGUGCUUUCAUUUCAGAGCAGAGGCAGAUGAAGUUUCUUCCUACACAUGGCUUUGAAGAACGAACUCAGUUUCAUGUUGUACAUCUACCAAAAGAGACCUGUACUGGGCAGUUACUGUAUGACUGCACUUCAGAAGCCAAAGGGAGGUGGGAUGCAGUUUGUCACUGCCUGUGAGGACUGGAGCACCUACAGGAGCCAGUGCCUUGGGAGAUGGUGAGGGAAAGGAUGUAUGGACUCGUGCAUUCUGUUUGUCUGCCAAGGGAUGUAUGGAUUGUUCUGAUUAAGAUUGGGAGAACUGACCUGUGUUAUAUUUGAGUGGUGUUGGUUUCUCAGGCUGUGUUCAUCAGCUUGUCAGCCUGACAAAUGGUCAUCUGCCAGACAGUUCUAAAUUCUCCUGGACUUGCUGUUCUUUUCAUACUUAUGUACCUAUGGAAGACCCUAUGGUCUGGUUGUCUUGAAAUUUCCCACUGAUUCCAUUGGUAAAAUAGGAUCAAACUUUGUCUUGACUGAAGUGCUAAGUCUUUAAGAAAUAAAUACAAUAGCUAUAUUAGCA